rnacentral:rRNA from 1 species
GACGAACGCUGGCGGCGUGCCUAAUACAUGCAAGUUGAGCGCUGAAGGUUGGUACUUGUACCAACUGGAUGAGCAGCAAACGGGUGAGUAACGCGUGGGGAAUCUGCCUUUGAGCGGGGGACAACAUUUGGAAACGAAUGCUAAUACCGCAUAAAAACUUUAAACACAAGUUUUAAGUUUGAAAGAUGCAAUUGCAUCACUCAAAGAUGAUCCCGCGUUGUAUUAGCUAGUUGGUGAGGUAAAGGCUCACCAAGGCGAUGAUACAUAGCCGACCUGAGAGGGUGAUCGGCCACAUUGGGACUGAGACACGGCCCAAACUCCUACGGGAGGCAGCAGUAGGGAAUCUUCGGCAAUGGACGAAAGUCUGACCGAGCAACGCCGCGUGAGUGAAGAAGGUUUUCGGAUCGUAAAACUCUGUUGGUAGAGAAGAACGUGGGUGAGAGUGGAAAGCUCAUCAAGUGACGGUAACUACCCAGAAAGGGACGGCUAACUACGUG